GUUUUAUGAAACUGAAAACUGAGUCAAAGGCAGAAAAUUAUGGUUUUGCAGAUAGAUUGGACAACUGUGGUUCUGGUGUUUGAGUUUCAGGUUUCAAGUAAAGAUUUUGUGUUUUAGCAGUUGAAAAAAAACUGUAAGACACAGUCUUAACAUGGAGUUAACAAGUUAAUGCAACUGGCCCUGAACUACACAAAGCUCCAGCAACAGAUUGAGGAAUUAUUCAAAGAUGCCAGAAGGCCCAACUGGAUGUCCAUACUUCGUUUUAUCCAUACAAAUCUUGACUUUGAGGAAAACUCAGAAGUUGUUUCAGCUGGACACUUUCAAGAUGAUGGUUGAUACAAAAUGCAGAAGACAUCAAAAUCAUGGGAGAAGGAUGGAGGAUGCAGUGACGUGGGACUCGUAGGCAGCCACCCCUCCUCUACACAGCAGAGCAGGAUGGCCGCCCACUCUACUGCAUCAUGGAUUGCAAACAGAAGAGAUGAAAUAGAUGGACAGGUCUUCACUCAGGCACGGCUCGGUUUCUGAUGGAUCUCCCAGUG
rnacentral:lncRNA from 1 species